rnacentral:rRNA from 1 species
GAUGAACGCUGGCGGCGUGCCUAAUACAUGCAAGUCGAGCGAACAGACGAGGAGCUUGCUCCUCUGACGUUAGCGGCGGACGGGUGAGUAACACGUGGAUAACCUACCUAUAAGACUGGGAUAACUUCGGGAAACCGGAGCUACUACCGGAUAAUAUAUUGAACCGCAUGGGUCAAUAGUGAAAGACGGUUUUGCUGUCACUUAUAGAUGGAUCCGCGCCGCAUUAGCUAGUUGGUAAGGUAACGGCUUACCAAGGCAACGAUGCGUAGCCGACCUGAGAGGGUGAUCGGCCACACUGGAACUGAGACACGGUCCAGACUCCUACGGGAGGCAGCAGUAGGGAAUCUUCCGCAAUGGGCGAAAGCCUGACGGAGCAACGCUGCGUGAGUGAUGAAGGUCUUCGGAUCGUAAAACUCUGUUAUUAGGGAAGAACAAAUGUGUAAGUAACUAUGCACGUCUUGACGGUACCUAAUCAGAAAGCCACGGCUAACUACGUG